rnacentral:rRNA from 1 species
AACGGCCGCGGGAUCCUACACCGUGCAAAGGUAGCAUAAUCACUUGUCAUCUAAAUAAUGACUAGUAUGAACGGCCCUAUGAGGACUUCCCUGUCUCUUGUAACCAAUCAAUGAAACUGAUCUCCCAGUACAAAAGCUGGGAUAAAACCACAAGACGAAAAGACCCUGUGGAACUUAUAAGUGCUAAUCAAUAACAUGACACAAACACUUUUAGUUGGGGCAACUUUGGAACAAAACAAAACUUCCAAUUAUAGGGUAUUCUUAACCCGAAACUAAGUCCACACACUAAUUUUUGACCCACCAAUUGACCCAGUAUUACUGAUAAAAGAAACAAGCUACCCCAGGGAUAACAGCGCCAUCCCCUCCUAGAGCCCAAAUCGACGAGCGGGGCUUACGACCUCGAUGUUGGAUCAGGGCCCCCAAACAGUGCAGCAGCUGUUAAAGGUUUGUUUGUUCAACAACUAAU